AAAAAUACUUAAAGCUAGAUACGUUGCUGAAGGGUACAACCAGAUAGAAGGCAUAGACUGCCAUAAGACGUUAGCUCCGACAGCAAACUUCCGUACAGGCAUUGAUGCAGGUAGCAGUGCAAAAUAACUUAAUUGUCCAUCAGAUGGAUGUCAAAGCAGCAAUCUUGGAACAACCAGAGGGUUUUGAAAAGGCAUCAGAGACAGUGGAGAAUUAGUAUGUAAAUAAAAGAAAUCCCUUUACGGUCUAAAACAGUCGUGGGGAAAUUGGUACGAACUUCUGUAUGAUUAACUAGAACAAAACAACUUUGUGAGAAAUCUAUCCGACCACUGUGUGUAUAGAAACAGAUAAGCAAUGAGACAAUCAUUGUAAUUAUCUGGGUUGAUGAUCUAAUCAUUGUUGCCAGCAAUAAUGACCUGCUAAACAGGUUCUAAGACAGACCUGGGUAAGAUGAGAGUGAAGAAGAGCCAGAAAAUUCGGCUGGUGUAUCAGUUGGAGGCUCAAGCCCAAACCAAUUACACUGGCAGACUCCACCAUCUCACUGAGUGCCAUGCAGCAGAGUCACUACUCCUCAACCUGGAGGAAACUGUCUAGCACCUGACCAUGGGGCCGGACCGCAACACCCUUCACCACCUCAACUCCCUGCACCUGUAUUUAACAUGAGGAGAGUUACUCAAGGAACGGCAGUCCCUCCUCAACUCCCUCCACCCCCCGCACCGGCCCUCAACAUGAGGCGAACAGAGGAGCCCUCUUCAAGCCUGGCCUACAGACCAACAUGGCGAGGGGGAGGAAUGACCGAUACCAUUCCCUGCUCUGUGGCUGAGGUCCACAUCCUUAGCCUGUUGGAGACCAUUAAACAACAACAAGACCAGCUUGUGGCAAAGGUGAACUACCUCAGCAGCAGGCUGAACAGCACCCCGGGGCCAGAUGUUGAGAUGCCGGACAAUAUCCAGUUUCCCCUGGAACAAUUGGAGGCAGUGGAGGCAUUUGAAAUGUUUUUAAAGGAACCGUCAAAUGGC
ensembl:lncRNA